AACAAGUCUCUACAUUAGUUUUCAAGUAUGAAAUUUAAAUAAUUUUGUUUAAUAAUUAGAAUAUACUCAAUAUUGUAAUAUCUAUUUUUUUCUGUCUUUAAAUUGAAUACUGUUUUCUCAAACUUAGUUAUUGAGCUUUAUCAUGAAUAGUAAUUCAGAAAUUAUAUUUUGGUUCAGUGAUUCUCAAGAGGAGAUGUCUUGUCCCCAUAAAGAAGUGUAUUAAAAUCUUGUAAGGAAUGAGGGAUAGAAGGGAGCUGUGGAGUUCCAAAAGCAUAUUUGGUAAUAGAAAAAAUGACAUUUCUGGGAAGGCAAAAAUAAAUCUGUUGUUUUACAGUCAAAUUAUGGAAAGGCAAAGCUCAACAUAAUAGACGGCUGGCGAUGCCAUUUCUUCAGUAUCAGGGAUUCUCAAUCAGAGAGACCUUGUAGGGUACAGGUCCUCAGUCCCCUCAGGAGGGAGGAGGACAGUGAAAGCCACAGCCACGUAGGCAGCUCCAUUCGGCCACACGGGAGACAAAGACUCUGACACAGAGAGGACAGAAAAGGGGGCUGACACCUAAGCCCUUGAAGGUUUGACCUCUGUUGUUAGUUCUAAGAUUUGGUUCCUGACACAAGGAAAGCAGAGCUGGAUACCACCACAGCCAUUCCCAGUGUGUGAACCAGGCAUGUGGUAUCUGAAGCAAAGCUUCUGCUUCUCAGCCUUGACUGGGAGGUCAAGUUCAAGACCAGAGAGAAAGUGGAGGCUCUGCCCCCUUUUCCCGUCCAGCUUUAUCCUAAAAGCAGCUGAUAGCCUUUGGGUAGAGGUGCAGGUACUCUGAGGAAAGGAGUCCAAUGCUUUUAUUCUUUUGUUUUCAGCCACGCUGCGCAGCACGCGGGAUCUUAGUUCCCUGACCGGGGAUCAAACCCGAGACCCCUGCAGUAGAAGCACGGGGUCCUAACCACUGGACCGCCAGGGAAGCCCCCCACAACGUUUUUAUUCUUGACAAGGGAAGGAUGAGAUGAGACCUGGAGCCAAGAAUCGUCAGGUAACAAUGUCUCAAAGGUCUCACUCCUGAAUGAAGUUAAAAUUGCAUGUCACCCAAUAGCAUAUGCAGUUUUGUGGCUUAUUUUGCUGUCAAAAUUACCACCCUGCAACAACAUGAGACGUUAAUGGGGGACGCGGCGUGAUUUACCUCGACGGCUCUGGGCCCUGUGGCCAGGGAGGACUUCCCACGUCCAAGUGGCCACACGUUUGGGGAAGCUGUGGCACCUCGGCCCUUCAGCUCUGCCUUUCGUACCCUAACCAUGCCACCCAGCACGGCAGGCCUCUCCUGAGACGAAAAAGAAAUGAAAAUUAAAACACUGCUUUGGGCCCUAGGCACUGUGCAUGAUGGGUAUGUCAGCCCUGACCUGGGUUGCAGGAUCCGAGCUUCAAAUCUUUCUCCAGGAGCUUCUUGCCUUUAAGGACAGGGCAGCCUGGCCAAGGCAGCUCAUUGGAGGAGCUUAGGUGAGAGGCAUCCUGCUUCCCCCAGCCUGGUCCAAGUUGCUCCCCAUGCUUCCCUAUGGCUCCCCACCCCUUGGCAAGGUCAGAUACACUCUCCUUCAGUGGCUGUCUCCACCUCCCAUUUACUUGUUUUUAUUUUAAACAAAUAGGCCAGAGCCACUGCUGUGGAUUUUCCGGUGCAUUGGAGAGCUGGGGACCGUUCGUGAGUGCAGGGGCAGAACGCUCCCCCUGCAGGCGUGGUUGGCUGUGAUGAUGGGAAAGGGCAUUAAUGAUGGGCUAUGAUGGCUGACCCCUGACCUCAUCGGCCGCAGCCCCUCUCCCCAGCCAAGUUUCUGCAGUCUGGUCAGCUGCGAGGGGUUUAAAGGGUAGCCGUUGUCCCUGGUCAGCCAGCCUACCGUUAAUAAUGUUUUCAUCCGAGACAGUGACAAACCCGCGGUAGCUGAGGAGAGUUUAUUAAAGUCAGUCUAUAAAUAAGAAUUAAAACUUUUAAAAAGUGGGUUGACACAGAUAGACAGAUGAAUAAAGUGAUUGGGCAAAACAAUAAAUAUAAGAAGGACAAGAUGCUUGAAGAGCCUUGCCUGCAAAGGAAGGCCCGGCCCACCCUCUCUCCAGCCUCCGCCCAAGUUUACAUUUCAUGAAGCUGCUUCAGAACUGGUAGGUUUUGUGAGUCUGGGCCCUGGCUAAUGUUCUGUCAUUUAAUGCCUGUUCUCUCAGCUGAAAAAAGGAUUGCAGCCACUUCUCUAUGUCAGGAGCUGGUGGAACUUAAAUGUCUCAUCCGUCCUCGGCUUGCGCGCAGACGGCCUGACCCGAGCUAGGCUCCGGGCCUGCGGGCAAGUGGCAGCUGGUCCUGGCUUUGCCGGCCCAGCCCUUGUCUGGGGACUGACUGAGCAAAGGGCCCAGGGAGGCUUUGAGCUGGAAGCAUGUCUUCCUGCAGCCUAGUCCCAGCUCAGAGGGCAGGUAUCCCCCCUACAGCCUGCGUGUCUUUGGGGUGUCUGCACAGACCACUCUACUCCAUUCCUCAGCCACGUGGCUUGUCCUAUGCAGGGCUUUUUAACAAUCGUGAUGAUUUUAAUGACGUACUUAAACAACUGUUUCAGUUCUCUUUUGCAUGUGUUGGCUCAUUGGACCCUCACGAGAAGCCCAAGAAAGGCUCAGGGCAAGUUUGAUAAUCUCCAUUUGGAAGAUGUUCUGGGCACAGAGAGGCUAGGCUGGCCUGAGGUCACUCCGGACAUAGGAGCAGAGCCAGGUCACUGUCCACUAACUGUGGGGAGAAGAGGUGGAGGAAGGCCGUGGGUAGGAAGCCCAGGCCCUGCUGGGAAAUGGGACUUGGCCGGCGUUCCACCUGCGACGCGUGCCCGUUAGUUAGCGUUGACGUGGACUCAUCUUGGCCUCAGUGAUAACCAGGGAGCAGCACGGUGGCCCUGCAGGGCUGUCAGGCCCCAAAGAACCUUCUGGAUCAUCACGUUAUUAGGAUUUGGGUCUGUCUGGUGCUUUAUUCCACAUAAGGGAAUGUCACCGUGUCCCCUCUUUGAGAACAAUUAGACUGAAGCACCCGUGGUAGUUAACUCUCAGUUAAGGAGAAUCAUCAGUAAAUCAGAAUGCCCGAUGCAGAGGCAGGUGAUAGACAAGAGGAUGAUUUCCCCGAAAUGUUCUGCCCCCUGUUGCUUCUCAUGUUGGGGCGGCCCAUGACCCAGGCUCAAGCUGGGGGGUUUCAGGGGUUCCCCCAGAGACUGGGAGCUGCACACAACUCCCACCCAGAGCCACAGGUGCUGCUAGGUGUCUGGCCAGGACCUUUGUGCUCUCUUUGUGAGCCUCAGUUUCCCCCCUGUGCAGUGGGAUUGAUACCCAAUCCUGUCUCUGAGGCUCAAACAGCUCUGAAAAGGCCUCAUGAAUUAGGGUCAAGGUCCAGCCAAGCCUGGGAGCUGUAGCAUGAUGUUAAACUGGCCCUGUUUCCUGAGAGUCUGAAUGGCCCAGAGCACCAGCAUUCACCUGGACUUUCCCAUUUUUUGCACCCAAUUUAGUAACAAGCUUGGAGGCCCCAGGAACACUGGGCUGGAAAGGCCCUGACCACUGAGGCAGGAGGCAAGAAAGGAAAUGGCGUUUCCCCUCCCCUCUAUGAAUGACCCACACCCCCCAGAGGACUCUGCCCCCCAUCUCACCCACCACGCUGAGCAGCACAGGUGUCGCCACCCAAGAGCUCAAUUCUAGGAAGGAAUUGGUCUCUCCAGCCCAGGGCACCCGUGUGUGAGGCACAGGAAAGGCAAGGCAAGUGGGGGGGCUGCGUUUGGGGGCCUUGCCAGGAGGUGGGCAGGCCUCAUUCCGGACCUCCAGGCAGCCCCUCUGCCGGGGAGCGGGUUGCUAUGGAUGUCAUCACCGCCAGCCCUGGGAGCGCUUCCUGGCCAAGAAACACGCAGGUUUUGUGACUUGGUGAAGGAAACUGGAACCACAGACAUACCUGUGCCCAGCAGUAGAGCCUCCCGGGGUCCGCUUCCACCUCCUGCCCCCUCCCUCACCCAAAUCAUCCUCGUUCAUGCUCACUUUCUUCACCACCUGAAAUGAUGUAUUUUUCCCUUGUUGACUGUCUGCCUCUCCCCCUAAGGGUGUAAGUGCGUGGAGCACGAGAGACAGAUGCACAUUGGAGGGCCUCCCACUCAGUAACUCUGGAUGAAGGUAAGAGUGGAUGAGUGAUGAAUGUGAGGGAUGCUCAUGACCCGGAACGAUCUUCCACAGGUGGUAAGGAGGGGACCCGGAAGCAGGAUGAAACCUCAGCCGGAAAGUGAAUCCCUUCCCUGAGCGAGCAGACAUGCCCCCCCCCCACACCAUUCUUCCCAAUUCAGCUCAUUGGGCUGGUUUCCAGGACUCUCUAGAGAGCUUUCUGGAAGCUUCCAGAGAAGAAGUGAGGAAGAUUCUUGGCCUCCUCUCUCUGAUCCCAGGCUUGAAGUCUAGGGGCACAGAGACCAAGCAGAUACCACUGUCAACAAGGUGUGUUCUGAUGGUGGCUGUGCCUGAGGGAGGGCCCCAGGGAUGGUGGCAGGAGAGAUGGAUCCAGACUGGCAUCUUGGGUGGACUUCACUGAAUUUUCCCAGUGUUAAAAUGAAAGCCCAAAAGGCAUGUAGUUGGGCUUCUUUUAAAAACCGUCAACCGUAUUUCAACCCUUAAUCACACUGUAACUGGCGAUGCCCCACAGCCUCUAAGCUUCUGACACUCUGUCCCUGUGACUCACCAUGGCCGCCCUCUCGGAGCUAGAACUCACCAUGGUUUCACCCACAUCACAGGGAUAAAUGUACUCCUUUCACUUCUUCCCAGCAUCUGAUUCCCUUGGUGACAUUUUAAUCAGUUCGAACUGGAGAAAAGCCUCCCUUAAUCACCCUCUGAAAAUCUUUAAUUGUUAAAAUUCUUUUUUUUUUUCUGCUUAAAGUUUCAUUAUUUUUAACCAAUCUAAUUUUACGGGCACUGCAUCCUUAAUGUGACCUAAUUAAAGGGGAUGUUUUGGUAAAGAAGCCGUGGGCUGCUCCAUUCAGGAAUUUUCGCCUUCCCACGGAAGGGGCUGCCAUAAGGAUUUCCAGGGAUUCUUACAUCAUUACACACCAUAAUUAUGCGUACUUUUACUGGGGGCUGUGAAAAUGCUGUGUUUCAAAUAAUUAAAUUAAGCACAACCAGAACUGCGCCGAGAAGAUACAAACCUUAUAUGAAAGCAACAAAACUGGCUUCAGAGCACGUCUUCAGAGCCACCUUUAUCAGGCCGCAGCCAACGCCCUCCUUUCACUGUCUUCCGAGAAGCAGCAGGGAAAUUCACCUGCUUAUCUCUGGAUAGGUGGGUCAGGGUCAGGAAACCUGCAUUUGAGUCCUGGCUCUGCUUCUUCGCCAGAAGUGUGAUCUUGGAUGAGCCAUUUUUCUCCCGAGCUUUGGUUUCCUUAUCUGUAAAAUGGGGAUGAUAAUAACAGUACAAGUCUCCCAGGUUAGCGGUGAGGAUCAAGUGGGGUGAUGGAAGUAAACCUGAUUUAUACAAAUUAGAAGGGCCAGAAACGCUGCUCAGAGCCCCAGCUUCCCAUGAGGACGAAUGGGAGGAAGUGAAGGCCUGGUGUCCCCCGGCCAAGCCAAGGUCUCCCACCUCAGGCCUUUGUCUGCCCUCCACUGGGACACCCCAACACGCCCCCUACCGUCUCAGGAGGCCCACCGUCCCAGGGCCCCAAGGUCAAACGUCUUAACGUCUCUACUUCUACUCCCUGUUUUCAUUCUCCUUGCUGAUGACUGGAGACCUGUGAAAUGAGUAUUUCAGAAAAGCCCAAUGCACGGGGCAUGGAGCCACGCCUGCACAGUCAGGCUUCUUUGCUUUUACUUAAAAUCUGAUCACAUGAUGGGUGACUCCCUGAAAUCAACCACGAAUGUUUUUGGUGAAACCUUUUAUAAAAUACUCACAGAAUAAGGCUUCAAUACAUAUUUCUUAAAUGAACAGAUGGACCAGAGCCAUUUAAAAAAAAAAAACAGCUUGGGGGUAUAAAUAGAGAUUUGGUUGGAACAUCUUAAACUGCUAAUGCUAUGAAUGUCUUCUUACUGCUUAAAUCUGAGCCUGGCCUUUAUCUGAGCAAGAAACCAGGUGCUCAGGUUCCGCGUCGCAAGCAAUCCAGUACCCAAGUGUGGACUCCGGUCAGCAGCCUGGUUCUCAACGUGCUGUGGAAUCCUCGGCCCAUGUGGAUUUAUCGGUGGCCUUGGACAUCAUAGACCCAUUUGGGGUUUAAAUGUACAUGUGUGUAUUUACAGGGCCAUUGUCCUUAAAGGAAGGGGGAACUGCAGAUAGACCGUGGGCAUCUUCACCAUCACAGAGUGCCCACUCACCUGCCACCUGGAGUUGCUCUGGGGCUGUGGUCCCCUCGCCAUCAUUUGCAGAUUCCACAUACCUUUACCUUCCCCCUGCUGUGCGUGCCACUUGAUUACUCUUUGACAUGAAUAAUAACCUUUGUUUGGAGAAUGACAUGACUUACUGGUGACCACUUCAGAUGUAACUCCACGGGCCUGAGGGCCACCAGAGACAGCAAGGGAACGUAGACCAUUGUCAGACUGGACGCUGGGUAGCAGGCAGUUUACAGCAAGGCUGUUAUGGAAAUACAACCGUAGCCUAACGAAAGAAACCUAGAAGCUGAAAGCAAGAAGUUACUUCUCCCAGCAGAAAGGAGAUUGCCAGCAGGAAGGACUGGGCGUUUCUGCUGAGGGGCUGUGCUGCCCCGGCUGCUUCCCUUGGCCGGUGGGCGCCAUCGUCAGGCCUCUUCGCUCCAGAAGCUUCUGCAUCCCCAGUGCUGGAUGGGGUUGCCGGCUCCCUCAAGACAAAAGGCGCUAUGGCAACUGUUGCGAUGAAUCAUUCCUGACAUCUAAAGGUUUUGCUGCUGAGGUCAUCUGGCAGGUGGCAAAGCACACAGGUCCCAGGGACAGCACUGCUCCUUCCUACCUGGGGAGCCUGGGAGCAUCACUGGCCUCUUAGAACCUCAGUGUCAUUAUCUCUAGAAUGGGACCAGAGAUAAUGAAUAUCAUAGUAGUGAUAUUUUUAAAUUAAAUAAUUAAUUAGUUG